rnacentral:rRNA from 1 species
GGAGCAAUCCGCUUUUGGAGGGGGUCGCGGCUGAUUAGCUAGUUGGUAGGGUAAUGGCCUACCAAGGCGAAGAUCGGUAUCCGGCCUGAGAGGGCGCACGGACACACUGGAACUGAAACACGGUCCAGACUCCUACGGGAGGCAGCAGUGGGGAAUUUUGCGCAAUGGGGGAAACCCUGACGCAGCAACGCCGCGUGGAGGAUGAAGCCCCUUGGGGCGUAAACUCCUUUCGACCGGGAAAAUAAUGAUGGUACCGGUGGAAGAAGCACCGGCUAACUCUGUGCCAGCAGCCGCGGUAAUACAGAGGGUGCGAGCGUUGUUCGGAAUUAUUGGGCGUAAAGGGCGCGUAGGCGGUGCGGUAAGUCACCUGUGAAACCUCUGGGCUUAACUCAGAGCCUGCAGGCAAAACUGCUGUGCUUGAGUGUGGGAGAGGCGCGUGGAAUUGCAGGUGUAGCGGUGAAAUGCGUAGAUAUCUGCAGGAACACCCGUGGCGAAAGCGGCGCGCUGGACCACAACUGACGCUGAGGAACGAAAGCUAGGGGAGCAAACAGGAUUAGAUACCCUGGUAGUCCUAGCCCUAAACGAUCAGGACUUGGGGUGCCGCCCGUUCGGGCGUCGUCCCGGAGCUAACGCGUUAAGUCCUGCACCUGGGGAGUACGGUCGCAAGACUGAA